UAGGGAAUCUUCGGCAAUGGACGAAAGUCUGACCGAGCAACGCCGCGUGAGUGAAGAAGGUUUCCGGAUCGUAAAACUCUGUUGUUAGAGAAGAACAAGGACGUUAGUAACUGAACGUCCCCUGACGGUAUCUAACCAGAAAGCCACGGCUAACUACGUGCCAGCAGCCGCGGUAAUACGUAGGUGGCACGCGUUGUCCGGAUUUAUUGGGCGUAAAGCGAGCGCAGGCGGUUUCUUAAGUCUGAUGUGAAAGCCCCCGGCUCAACCGGGGAGGGUCAUUGGAAACUGGGAGACUUGAGUGCAGAAGAGGAGAGUAGAAUUCCAUGUGUAGCGGUGAAAUGCGUAGAUAUAGGGAGGAACACCAGUGGCGAAGGCGGCUCUCUGGUCUGUAACUGACGCUGAGGCUAGAAAGCGUGGGGAGCAAACAGG
rnacentral:rRNA from 1 species